GGCCUUGUGGUCUAGUCGCAUGAUUGUCGUUUCGGGAAGUAUCCUAGGUACUGACUAUCUUGAAUAUGACAGGUCCCGGGUAAGUCAAUUCUUCGUGUAGAGAAGUGGGUAGCUAACGAUGCCUAGGUUCAAAUCCCGGCAAGGCCC